rnacentral:piRNA from 1 species
UCGUUUUGUCCAAUUGUCUUU